rnacentral:rRNA from 2 species
UACAUGCAGUCGAGCGGAUCGAUGGGAGCUUGCUCCCUGAGAUCAGCGGCGGACGGGUGAGUAACACGUGGGUAACCUGCCUGUAAGACUGGGAUAACUCCGGGAAACCGGGGCUAAUACCGGAUAACACCUACCCCCGCAUGGGGGAAGGUUGAAAGGUGGCUUCGGCUAUCACUUACAGAUGGACCCGCGGCGCAUUAGCUAGUUGGUGAGGUAAUGGCUCACCAAGGCGACGAUGCGUAGCCGACCUGAGAGGGUGAUCGGCCACACUGGGACUGAGACACGGCCCAGACUCCUACGGGAGGCAGCAGUAGGGAAUCUUCCGCAAUGGACGAAAGUCUGACGGAGCAACGCCGCGUGAGUGAAGAAGGUUUUCGGAUCGUAAAACUCUGUUGUUAGGGAAGAACAAGUGCCGUUCGAAUAGGGCGGCGCCUUGACGGUACCUAACCAGAAAGCCACGGCUAACUACGUGCCAGCAGCCGCGGUAAUACGUAGGUGGCAAGCGUUGUCCGGAAUUAUUGGGCGUAAAGCGCGCGCAGGUGGUUUCUUAAGUCUGAUGUGAAAGCCCACGGCUCAACCGUGGAGGGUCAUUGGAAACUGGGGAACUUGAGUGCAGAAGAGGAAAGUGGAAUUCCAAGUGUAGCGGUGAA